rnacentral:rRNA from 1 species
GACGAACGCUGGCGGCGUGCUUAACACAUGCAAGUCGAACGGAAAGGCCUCUUUCGGGGGGUACUCGAGUGGCGAACGGGUGAGUAACACGUGAGUAACCUGCCCUUGACUUUGGGAUAACUUCAGGAAACUGGGGCUAAUACCGGAUAGGAGCUCCUGCUGCAUGGUGGGGGUUGGAAAGUUUCGGCGGUUGGGGAUGGACUCGCGGCUUAUCAGCUUGUUGGUGGGGUAGUGGCUUACCAAGGCUUUGACGGGUAGCCGGCCUGGGAGGGUGACCGGCCACAUUGGGACUGAGAUACGGCCCAGACUCCUACGGGAGGGAGCAGUGGGGAAUAUUGCACAAUGGGUGGAAGCCUGAUGCAGCAACGCCGUGUGCGGGAUGACGGGCUUCGGGUUGUAAAACGCUUUCGCUCAUGACGAAGCUUUGUGUGACGGUAGUGGGUAAAGAAGCACCGGCUAACUACGUG